rnacentral:rRNA from 1 species
UACGUAGGUGUCGAGCGUUGUCCGGAUUUAUUGGGCGUAAAGAGCCCGCAGGCGGCUUGGCAAGUUUGAGGUGAAAUCUCCCGGCUUAACUGGGGGGGGGCCUCGAAAACUGCCAGGCUUGAGGCAUGGAGAGGGAUGCGGAAUUCCCGGUGUAGUGGUGAAAUGCGUAGAUAUCGGGAGGAACACCAGUGGCGAGGGCGGCAUCCUGGCCAUGUCCUGACGCUCAGGGGCGAAAGCGUGGGGAGCAAACCGG